rnacentral:rRNA from 1 species
UCGGGAAUUUUGGGCAAUGGGCGCAAGCCUGAUCCAGCCAUGCCGCGUGCAGGAUGACGGUCCUAUGGAUUGUAAACUGCUUUUGUACAGGAAGAAACAGUUCUACGUGUAGAACCUUGACGGUACUGUAAGAAUAAGGAUCGGCUAACUCCGUGCCAGCAGCCGCGGUAAUACGGAGGAUCCAAGCGUUAUCCGGAAUCAUUGGGUUUAAAGGGUCCGUAGGCGGUUAGAUAAGUCAGUGGUGAAAGCCCAUCGCUCAACGGUGGAACGGCCAUUGAUACUGUCUGACUUGAAUUAUUAGGAAGUAACUAGAAUAUGUAGUGUAGCGGUGAAAUGCUUAGAGAUUACAUGGAAUACCAAUUGCGAAGGCAGGUUACUACUAAUGGAUUGACGCUGAUGGACGAAAGCGUGGGUAGCGAACAGGAUUAGAUACCCUAGUAGUCCCUG